rnacentral:rRNA from 1 species
CGGCGGACGGGUGAGUAACACGUGGGUAAUCUGCCUUAUACAGGGGGAUAACAGUUAGAAAUGACUGCUAAUACCGCAUAAGCGCACGGGGACGCAUGUUUCUGUGUGAAAAACUCCGGUAGUAUAAGAUGAGCCCGCGUCUGAUUAGCUGGUUGGUGGGGUAACGGCCUACCAAGGCGACGAUCAGUAGCCGGCCUGAGAGGGUGAACGGCCACAUUGGGACUGAGACACGGCCCAAACUCCUACGGAAGGCAGCAG